rnacentral:rRNA from 1 species
UUGGACCUGAUAUCAGGCAAGACUACCCG